UUGGUUAAGUUAGAAAGGGCGCACGGUGGAUGCCUUGGCACUAGGAGCCGAAGAAGGACGGGACUAACACCGAUAUGCUUUGGGGAGCUGUACGUAAGCGUUGAUCCAGAGAUUUCCGAAUGGGGGAACCCACUAUCUUUAGUCGGAUAGUAUCCUUACGUGAAUACAUAGCGUGAGGAAGGCAGACCCAGGGAACUGAAACAUCUAAGUACCUGGAGGAAGAGAAAGAAAAAUCGAUUUCCUGAGUAGCGGCGAGCGAAACGGAAAGAGCCCAAACCAAGAAGCUUGCUUCUUGGGGUUGUAGGACACUCUAUACGGAGUUACAAAAGAAAGUUAUAAAUGAAGCGGUCUGGAAAGGCCCGCCAAAGACGGUAACAGCCCGGUAGUUGAAAUGGCUUUCCCUCCAGAGUGGAUCCUGAGUACGGCGGAACACGUGAAAUUCCGUCGGAAUCCGGGAGGACCAUCUCCCAAGGCUAAAUACUCCCUAGUGACCGAUAGUGAACCAGUACCGUGAGGGAAAGGUGAAAAGCACCCCGGAAGGGGAGUGAAACAGUUCCUGAAACCGUGUGCCUACAAGUAGUUAGAGCCCGUUAAUGGGUGAUAGCGUGCCUUUUGUAGAAUGAACCGGCGAGUUACGAUUUGUUGCAAGGUUAAGCGGAAAAAGCGGAGCCGUAGCGAAAGCGAGUCUGAAUAGGGCGCAUAAGUAACAGGUCGUAGACCCGAAACCAGGUGAUCUACCCAUGUCCAGGAUGAAGGUAAGGUAAUACUUACUGGAGGUCCGAACCCACGCACGUUGAAAAGUGCGGGGAUGAGGUGUGGGUAGCGGAGAAAUUCCAAUCGAACUUGGAGAUAGCUGGUUCUCUCCGAAAUAGCUUUAGGGCUAGCCUCGAGGUAAAGAGUCAUGGAGGUAGAGCACUGUUUGGACUAGGGGCCCUUCUCGGGUUACCGAAUUCAGAUAAACUCCGAAUGCCAUGUACUUAUACUCGGGAGUCAGACUGCGAGUGAUAAGAUCCGUAGUCGAAAGGGAAACAGCCCAGACCACCAGUUAAGGUCCCCAAAUAUAUGUUAAGUGGAAAAGGAUGUGGGGUUGCUUAGACAACCAGGAUGUUGGCUUAGAAGCAGCCACCAUUGAAAGAGUGCGUAAUAGCUCACUGGUCGAGUGACCCCGCGCCGAAAAUGUACCGGGGCUAAACAUAUUACCGAAACUGUGGAUGAACCUCUUUAGAGGUUCGUGGUAGGAGAGCGUUCUAAGGGCGGUGAAGUCAGACCGGAAGGACUGGUGGAGCGCUUAGAAGUGAGAAUGCCGGUAUGAGUAGCGAAAGAAGGGUGAGAAUCCCUUCCACCGAAUAUCUAAGGUUUCCUGAGGAAGGCUCGUCCGCUCAGGGUUAGUCGGGACCUAAGCCGAGGCCGAUAGGCGUAGGCGAUGGACAACAGGUAGAGAUUCCUGUACCAGUGCUAAUUGUUUAACCGAUGGGGUGACACAGAAGGAUAGGGAAUCGCACGAAUGGAAAUGUGCGUCCAAGCAGUGAGUGUGAGAAGUAGGCAAAUCCGCUUCUCGCGAAGCAUGAGCUGUGAUGGGGAAGGAAAUUAAGUACGGAAGUUCCUGAUUUCACGCUGUCAAGAAAAGCCUCUAGGAAGAGUAGUACUGCCCGUACCGCAAACCGACACAGGUAGAUGAGGAGAGAAUCCUAAGGUGAGCGAGAGAACUCUCGUUAAGGAACUCGGCAAAAUGACCCCGUAACUUCGGGAGAAGGGGUGCUCUAUUAGGGUGCAAGCCCGAGAGAGCCGCAGUGAAUAGGCCCAGGCGACUGUUUAGCAAAAACACAGGUCUCUGCAAAACCGUAAGGUGACGUAUAGGGGCUGACGCCUGCCCGGUGCUGGAAGGUU
rnacentral:rRNA from 1 species